rnacentral:rRNA from 1 species
AACGUAGGGGACAAGCGUUAUCCGGAUUUACUGGGCGUAAAGCGCGUGUAGGCGGCCAGGUAAGUCCGUUCUGAAAGCCCGGGGCUCAACCCCGGGAGGCGGAUGGAUACUGCUUGGCUCGAGUCCGGAAGAGGCGAGUGGAAUUCCCGGUGUAGCGGUGAAAUGCGCAGAUAUCGGGAGGAACACCAAUGGCGAAGGCAGCCCGCUGGGACGGUACUGACGCUGAGACGCGAAAGCGUGGGGAGCAAACAGG